rnacentral:rRNA from 1 species
UACGUAGGGAGCAAGCGUUGUCCGGAAUCAUUGGGCGUAAAGCGCGCGUAGGUGGCCUCAUAAGUCCGCUGUGAAAGUCCAAGGCUCAACCUUGGAAAGCCGGUGGAUACUGUGAGGCUAGAGUACGGAAGAGGCGAGUGGAAUUCCUGGUGUAGCGCUGGAAUGCGCAGAUAUCAGGAGGAACACCAAUAGCGAAGGCAGCUCGCUGGGACGUUACUGACACUGAGGCGCGAAAGCGUGGGGAGCGAACAGG